rnacentral:rRNA from 1 species
AAAGAUUAAGCCAUGCAUGUCUAAGUAUAAGCAAUUAUACCGCGAAACUGCGAAUGGCUCAUUAAAUCAGUUAUCGUUUAUUUGAUAGUACCUUACUACAUGGAUAACCGUGGUAAUUCUAGAGCUAAUACAUGCUGAAAAUCCCGACUUCGGAAGGGAUGUAUUUAUUAGAUUAAAAACCAAUGCCCUUCGGGGCUCUCUGGUGAUUCAUAAUAACUUCUCGAAUCGCACGGCCUUGCGCUGGCGAUGGUUCAUUCAAAUUUCUGCCCUAUCAACUUUCGACGGCUGGGUCUUGGCCAGCCGUGGUGA